rnacentral:lncRNA from 1 species
ACCACCCUGCAUUCACCAGAGGAACUAGAUUACCAAAACCAAGACACUAAGGAGAAAUUUAUUCAUUAAAGAGAUACUCUUAGAAGAAAUAAAAAUUAAGUCAAUGGGAAGUGUCUUCAAUAUAUAUCCCAUUGACUAGGGCAAAAGCAGAAAAUGAGUAAAAGUGCAUUCAAGGUCUAGGAAAUGGUAUAUAUGAAAGCAUGGAAGUAUAAUUGUUCUUAAAUCUGUAGUAGGUCAUUUAUGAUGGGUGAAACAGAACACAAAAGGGAGUGUUAGAACACAAGGCUGGAAAUACAAACAUAUGAUAGAACAGGUGUUUGGGUUUCAUUUGGUUGCCAGUGGGAACCGUUAUAAAGCAUAACUAUGACAGUGCGGCAAUCUGUGUUCUAAAAGAAUGACUCUGGCAGUAGUGUGGAGGGUGGACUGGAAGGAGUAUUUGCUGAAGCCAGCUGCUAUUCUCUGAGCUGCCUCAUGGAAGGGCCCAACUGGCAAGCAACUGAGACAAGCAAUCGUCAGAGAAGAAUGGAUGUACCCCAUCCAAAGUCCUGCAAUGAACUUGAAUGAUCCUGCAAUCUCAGAAUUGAAAGAAUCCUAUCAAAAACAAAGAACUUAUGAGCACAUACUGUACAGUAGAACUUGAGAUGACUGCAGCUCUUGUCUGCACCUUGAAGAUUUGCAAGAGUCCCUGAACUGGAAGACCGCACUAAGCUAUGCUCAGUUUCCUAACCCACUGUAACUGUAAGAUAAUAAAUGUUAUUCUUUUAAGCUUCUAAGUUUUAGGGCAUUUAUUACACAGCAAUAGAUAAAUUAUACACAGGCCAUAAAAUGUCCCUUGUGGAUAUUAAUAUCUUCCAUCUCUGAAUGAUACCACUCGUUUUGUAAGUUAAUCAUUAAUUGUCUUGCAUUGUUUACUUAGUGUUAAUUGGUCAUGUUCAAAUGAUGUUCUACAGGGCCCUAAGGAAUAUAUGUGUAUGAAUAUGUUUGCUUUUUGUAUGCAGUGUGAGUGUGUGAUUGGGGUGAAAGUUUAAAUAAAGAAGUUAGGUAGACAGGGCUCUGAGUGCAUUUUUUCUACCUUAGCAAGAACAGUUUCUCUUUUAUCUGCUAAAUGUAUUAGGUUGGUGCAACAGUAAUUGUGAUUUUUGCAUUGUUGAAAUUUGCAGAUUGAUAUUGGAAUAUGUUCUUAAAUAAAUGUGGUUAUGCUAUACAUCA